rnacentral:rRNA from 1 species
UACGUAGGAUGCAAGCGUUGUCCGGAAUUAUUGGGCGUAAAGAGCGCGCAGGCGGUAUGACAAGUCAGAUGUGAAAGAGGCCGGCUUAACCGGCAAGGGUCAUUUGAAACUGUCAGACUAGAGUGCAGCAGAGGGUAGUGGAAUUUCCGGUGUAGCGGUGAAAUGCGUAGAGAUCGGAAGGAACACCAGUGGCGAAGGCGGCUUCUGGCCUGUUCUUGACGCUGAGGCGCGAAAGCUA